rnacentral:lncRNA from 1 species
UCUUGCUGUGCAGAUUAAAUUACAUAUACCGAUUUGAUUGGCCAAUGACUGUUUUAACACAUGACGUAAUCAAUUUACGUGAACGUUUUACAAAUGCGGACGAUUUCCGCAAUCCACGGAUCCUAGAAAUGUUUCUUGUAGGUUAAAGAUAGGGGGAAAUAUGACUUUGGUAAGUUUUAAAUUAUCUUUUUUAUUAUAUUAAGACUUAUGCUAAAAUUGCGAUUUGAUGGUAGAUUUUUUUUUAUCGUUUCUGUUAAAUUUAUUCCCAGUUUUUAUUUAAUUAUUGACGAUUACGACUAUUAAUUAUAAAAUUGUGUACUUUAAAAUCGGUGUAUGAAAAAAAUCAUAAAUGAAAGGGUUAUAUUGAGUUUGGAUUAAUUGCCUUUGAAUUUCUUUCCCUCAAUGAUAUGCUUACAGAAAGAUGAACCGAGGAAGAUGUUAUAUUAACUAAAUUCAAAAUGUUAGAUAAACAGAAAAUACGUUCUCUUUCCAAUCUUUUACUCCCCAUCCCCACAAAUUUCUACUUCUGAUGUAUUAAUUUUUAAGACACGUCCAUCUAAAUGAAGUCUGAUUGAUCCCCAGCUAAUUCACCCUGUUUUGAAACAAACUUAAAUAUGAUCCGGCCGAUCCUCAUUAAAUUCGAUCUAAAAAAAUAGUCACUUUAUAGUAGAUAUUCAAAAAGUCGUAAUAAAUUCCAUUGAGUCUAAAACUAAUCCUAAUCAGAUAAAAAUUUCUGUUAUUCAGAUAUUCUUAAAUACAUUCCUUUUUUGGCAGAAAUUACCCAAAAUUGUUUUAACUAUCUUUCUGACUUUAAAA